UACGAAGGGUGCAAGCGUUAAUCGGAAUUACUGGGCGUAAAGCGUGCGCAGGCGGUUCGUUGUGUCGGCGGUGAAAGCCCCGGGCUUAACCUGGGAAUGGCCGUCGAAACUGGCGAACUGGAGUGUGGCAGAGGGGGGUGGAAUUCCGCGUGUAGCAGUGAAAUGCGUAGAGAUGCGGAGGAACACCGAUGGCGAAGGCAGCCCCCUGGGCUGACACUGACGCUCAGGCACGAAAGCGUGGGGAGCAAACAGG
rnacentral:rRNA from 1 species